CCUAAGACGCUUCUUCCCCAAUCUCUCUCCCCCUCCGCCGCCACCCCCUCGUCUUGUCACUCCUCCUAGAUCGGCUCCUCUCUCGCUCCUCCAUGAUCCCCACCUAGAUUCGCUCCUCUCUCCCUCCUCUAUCCCCACCUAUAUUCACUCCUCUCUCCCUUCUCCUCGAUGCUGAUUUUUUAGAGCAAGCAGAUUGGAUCGAUGGUGACCGCAUGAGCGUGCCGCUGCCGCAUGGAAUCGCCUUGCCGCUGCGUGGAGUCGCUUUGUCGCCGCCGCCCGUUGCCACUUGCCAGCAUGGUGCACACAUGCACCUAACAUCCAGGGAAGUCCACCAUCUGAACCACCACGACCAUCCCUCUUGGCUAGCACAAGCAGCGCCAUCGGCACUUCGGAAGUGAAGGUCUAUCUCAUGGACACCCAGUUUGGUUCCACUACUAGCGCCUUGAAGACUAAGGAUGGUGUUGUCCUGGCUGUGAGAAACGUAUCACCUCACCACUGCUGGUAUGAUUGCAUAGCGGGCUACUUGGUGCUGCCCAUCACAAUCUGCAUGACGUGAUAGAUAGCGUCCAUCAGGAGUGUCGAUGGCAAGAACAUGAAUAACUACUUCAAUAGUUUGAAUGUACAGUUUGUGUGAACUGGAUUGUACUAUUUCUUAAUUUUUUGAGUGAUAUUUUGUUAAGCUAUGUUGUAAAAUUACCAUUGUAUGGAGGUUUUUGUAA
rnacentral:rRNA from 1 species